GGGGAGAGGCAGAAGGAGAGGGAGAAGCAGGCUCCCCACUGAGCAGAGAGCCUGAUGCAAUGCAGGGCUCGAUCCCAAGACCUGGAGAUCAUGACCCAAGCUGAAGGCAGAUGCUUAACCAUCUGAGCCGCUCAGGCACCCCAAGCAGCCACAUUUGUAAAAUUUGUAACAGGGUGCCUGUGGAGAGAGAGAGCACUCUGUACAGUACUCGUCGGACCAGGUGAGCUGGCGCGGGGGAGUUUUUCCUCCUACUCCCUGACCCCGGGCAGGCUUGGGGGCGCGCGACUCGCGGCUGUACUGGCACCUCCC
rnacentral:lncRNA from 1 species